GGAGAGAUGGCCGAGUGGUUGAAGGCGCACGCUUGGAAAGUGUGUAUGGGGGCAACUCUAUCGUGGGUUCGAAUCCCACUCUCUCCGCCA
rnacentral:tRNA from 1 species